rnacentral:rRNA from 1 species
GACGAACGCUGGCGGCGUGCUUAACACAUGCAAGUCGAACGAUGAAGAAGAGAAACGCGAACUUCGGUUCAAAUUUCACUUCGGAUUAGUGGCAGACGGGUGAGUAACGCGUGAGCAACCUACCUCUUACAAAGGGAUAGCCUCGGGAAACCGUGAUUAAUACCAUAUGACGCAUUCAUAAGGCAUCUUAAGAAUGUUAAAGCUACGGCGGUAAGAGAUGGGCUCGCGUCCCAUUAGCUAGUUGGUGAGGUAACGGCCCACCAAGGCGACGAUGGGUAACCGGCCUGAGAGGGUGAACGGUCACAUUGGAACUGAGACACGGUCCAAACUCCUACGGGAGGCAGCAGUGGGGAAUAUUGCACAAUGGAGGGAACUCUGAUGCAGCGACGCCGCGUGAGCGAUGAAGGAAUUCGUUUCGUAAAGCUCUGUUCUAUGGGAAGAAAAGGACUGUACCAUAGGAGAAAGCCCCGGCUAAAUACGUG